UCCCUGGUGGUCUAGUAGCUAAGGAUCCCGCACUCUCACUGCCAUAGCCUGGGUUCAAUUCCUGGGCAGGGAA